UUUCCGUAGGUGAACCUGCGGAAGGAUCAUUAUUGUAUAACCGAGGUGCGAGGGCCGUCGCUGACCCGAAAGGUCGUGCACGCCUGAGUGCCCUCACACACAUCCAUCUCACCCCUAUGUGCACCACCGCGUGGGUCCCCCUUUGGCUUGUUCGGAGGGGGGCUUACGUUUUCACACAAACUUUGUAUGCAGUGUAGAAUGUAUUUUUUGUUUUUGCGAUCACGCAAUCAAUACAACUUUCAACAACGGAUCUCUUGGCUCUC
rnacentral:misc_RNA from 1 species